rnacentral:tRNA from 1 species
GUCCCCGUAGCUCAGCGGAUAGAGCGCUGGCCUCCGGAGCCAGGCGCGUGGGUUCGAUUCCCGCCGGGGACGCCA